GUGCUCGCUUCGGCAGCACAUACAUUAAAACUGGAACAACACAGAGAUUAGCAUGGCUUCUGUGCAGGGAUGACAUGCAAAUUUGUGAAGAGCUCUUUCAGGUA
rnacentral:snRNA from 1 species